rnacentral:rRNA from 1 species
AUGGGAGAAGGGUUUCCCCUCUGGUCCAUGGUCUCCAUGGCGUGGGAGGGGCGAGAGCCCCUCCGAGAUUGGAUAUGUCUCUCUGUCUCUCUCUGUUUCUGCAUUCCUGAUUCUGCCCUUUCACCAUUUUUUAUAUCCCCGGAGAUCCGUAACUCCAAUUUGGUUGUCCUUUGGACACGAUUUCUAUCCGAAAUUAGCUUUCUUGCGGCGAAAGAAGGGCAUCAACCGCCUUAUGGGGUGGCCACGAGGGUCAGGGGCGCGCCCCCUGCCUCGUGGGCCACUCGAGCAUCGUCUCGCGUUGAUUCUUCUUCCCCAAAAUCAUAA